GAUGAACGCUGGCGGCGUGCCUAAUACAUGCAAGUCGAGCGAACAGACGAGGAGCUUGCUCCUCUGACGUUAGCGGCGGACGGGUGAGUAACACGUGGAUAACCUACCUAUAAGACUGGGAUAACUUCGGGAAACCGGAGCUAAUACCGGAUAAUAUAUUGAACCGCAUGGUUCAAUAGUGAAAGACGGUUUUGCUGUCACUUAUAGAUGGAUCCGCGCCGCAUUAGCUAGUUGGUAAGGUAACGGCUUACCAAGGCAACGAUGCGUAGCCGACCUGAGAGGGUGAUCGGCCCCACUGGAACUGAGACACGGUCCAGACUCCUACGGGAGGCAGCAGUAGGGAAUCUUCCGCAAUGGGCGAAGGCUUGACGGAGCAACGCCGCGUGAGUGAUGAAGGUCUUCGGAUCGUAAAACUCUGUUAUUAGGGAAGAACAAAUGUGUAAGUAACUAUGCACGUCUUGACGGUACCUAAUCAGAAAGCCACGGCUAACUACGUG
rnacentral:rRNA from 1 species